CUGUCUCAGUGAUGUCUGUUUGAGUCAUGCUCAUGAAGAUCUGAUUCCCAUAAUAACUGUAAAGGAAACAUUUGGAAGGAGCACAUGUCUUAUUAGUUAGUAACUAAUGAACAGAGUAUUGGAGAACCCUUGAGAAAUUUAAAGUGAGGUACUGUUUGGUCCCAUCAGGAGCCGCUGAGAAAAAUGGUUGAAAAAUCUUUCAGAGAGUGAGGAGGAACAGAUUGUGAUCUAAAAUUUCUCGGGACGUAUUACUGCAUAGCAGCAAUGAUACAAAUGGCGGCUGUGUCUCUAGGCUUGCGCUCAGAAGUCUACUUAAGCUGUAAAAUGUCUUAUGUGUAACCUGACCCAAGCUGACUCUAAGAAGAUCCAAGCUCCGACUUUAGAAGAGGCAUUAAACUUUUUAAAUUUG